UGUGUCCAAUAAGACCAAGAAAAAGUAAAAAAAUAAAUAAAAAUAGACGUCAAAUCUGCGGGUCUGUCCUCUUCAAAAGUCCGGAAGAAGAGGGGGAAAAGUUUUUCCGUGGCGUCCCGUGGCCGCCUGGAGGAGGACUAACGUUCUCCUGCAAGAAACUUCUUAAAGAGACAUCACCACCACCACCAACACCACCUCCUCCUUCAGCAUUAUUCAUGACUACCAGGGGCGUGUUCACACCAUCCGUGGCUAGUAGGGCUGCCGCCACCACCGGCCCAUCCGCAGAUACAGCGUUCAUGAAAACGGUUCCAUUAUUGGAGCUGGGAGGGCGCUUUGCGUCCCCCCCCCUGUUUUCAGCACCUGUCUCCAAUCAGCCUCAUCACCACCGGUAUAUAAGCCUGCCUGUUCCAGGAAAUCCUCGCCAAAGUAUUGCAGUUACUUCCAGCGUGUUUUCCCCCGUGUUCCUGAUCCGCGUCAUUCCUGCCACCUGUCCACGCCACUGCCUGACAACCCACCUCGGACCACCGCCAUUACCUUUCAUCACUAAACUGUUCAUCAUUUUACAUCUGCUUCCGCCUGCUCUUGGAUCCAGCUACUCCCCAUACGUGACAACAAGCUUGAUUUAUUUUAAUAUUCUGGAAACCUUUCACGUUAUGUUUUUUUUUUUCUAAAAGAUGAAUCACAGUGGGUUCAUAUAUACAAAAAAAAAAAGAUUACAUACUGUAGUGUGCCGUGCCUUCGAAAGCAACAUCAGGCGGAACAUUAAGGCAAAGUAAUGAAAUCAUGUCCUCUCAUUGGGGUUAAGCCACAUCCAAGGCAAACAGCUCUUAACUGGAACCACUUGUGUGCCUUUUUAUUGCCUACUUUCCUGCGAUGGAAACAUGUCCUUGAAGGCAUCACGCAGACAACAAGCACAACACAUGGAACAAGCACUGUUUAAACUUUUAAAAGUGCAAAGGUAUUGAUUUGAUCGACGUUAGUUAGCAUGUUUACAUCCCCCUCACCUCGUCAGAAUAAAAAAAAUAGACGGUCCCAUCAUCUCCACAAACCAGGAAGUGGUCUGCUAACAUACGUAUGGAUAAAAAAAAUACGGCGUUCAACAAGAAAUGUAUUUAUUUAUUUUUUGUUUUGAUGUUUCGAUUGAAAAUAAACUUCAACUUGAGUGUCAAUAAACAGCUUGAAGCAAACACUUGGCCGUCUUUU